GAUGAAGAACGUAGCGAAAUGCGAUACGUAAUGUGAAUUGCAGAAUUCAGUGAAUCAUCCAAUCUUUGAACGCAUAUUGCGCUCUCUGGUAUUCCGGAGAGCAUGCUUGUUUGAGUAUCAGUAAACACCUCAACUCCCUUUUCUUUUUUGAAAUUGGAGCUGGACUUGAGUGAUCCCAACGCUUUCUUCCAAGAAAGUGGCGGGUUGCUUGAAAUGCAGGUGCAGCUGAACUUUUCUCUGAGCUAUAAGCAUAUCUAUUUAGUCUGCCUAAAAAACAGAUUAUUACCUUUGCUGCAGCUAACAUAAAGGAGACUAGUUCUUGUGCUGACUGAUGCAGGAUUCACAGAGACAGCUUCGGCUGACUUUGUAAACUCGAUCUCAAAUCAAGUAAGACUACCCGCUGAACUUAAGCAUAUCAAUAAGCGGAGGA
rnacentral:misc_RNA from 1 species